CCUACGGGGGGCUGCAGUGGGGAAUAUUGGACAAUGGGGGGAACCCUGAUCCAGCCAUGUCGCGUGUGUGAAGAAGGCCCUCGGGUUGUAAAGCACUUUCAGUGAGGAAGAACGCCUGGUGGUUAAUACCCAUCAGGAAAGACAUCACUCACAGAAGAAGCACCGGCUAACUCCGUGCCAGCAGCCGCGGUAAUACGGAGGGUGCGAGCGUUAAUCGGAAUUACUGGGCGUAAAGCGCGCGUAGGUGGCUUGAUAAGCCGGUUGUGAAAGCCCCGGGCUCAACCUGGGAACGGCAUCCGGAACUGUCAAGCUAGAGUGCAGGAGAGGAAGGUAGAAUUCCCGGUGUAGCGGUGAAAUGCGUAGAGAUCGGGAGGAAUACCAGUGGCGAAGGCGGCCUUCUGGACUGACACUGACACUGAGGUGCGAAAGCGUGGGUAGCAAACAGGAUUAGAUACCCGGGUAGUC
rnacentral:rRNA from 1 species